CACGGUACUGAGUGAGCUAAGUGGAGCAAGUUCUGCAGAACCACCGAGGGACCAAUAGUUGGCGCAGAUCUUCUUUUGUCUAUGGUUCCUGGACCACCCAAUAGAGAAGUCGGUGUCUACAUCCAGCCAUCCAUGGCCUUCUCCCGUCGGGGCCUCAGUAGGAGUUCAGCUCCCUUCCUCUAUUUCUGGACUCCCCGAAGGUCCCCCCAAGGGGUCGUCCGCCACUGGUUGGCCUAAUAAUCCAUGCCUUCUAGCCUGCCCCCCACUUUUCCUCCCAGGAUGCGUACCCCACACCCGCAAGAGGUCAACAAAGCUCGGCCAGUCACAUCCCAGGAUCACUAGUCAAAAAGGAGCCAAGCCAGAGCCCAGCAGUGUAGCUGAACUGCACUGAAGAGGAGUUAUAUCCAAGGAGUACACAACAGUACAUGGGAAGGUACAUUUGAACCUUAGUUGUGGGGGAGUAAAGCCCAAAGGUUCCCCAGGGUUUUCUGUUCCCUACUGGCCCAGAUAAAGCCUUCACACCUCAGAGACUGCAGGCAAGGUGCUGAGGGUUUCGAUUGUUUGCUUUUUUGAUUGUGCAGCUAAAUUACAGAAUGCAAAAUUACUGAGCAUCACCA